rnacentral:rRNA from 1 species
AGAACGAACGCUGGCGGCAGGCCUAAAACAUGCAAGUCGAGCGCCCAGCAAUGGGAGCGGCGGACGGGUGAGUAACACGUGGGAACGUACCUUUCGGUUCGGAACAACUUAGGGAAACUUGAGCUAAUGCCGAAUUCGCCCUAACGGGGAAAGAUUUAUCGCCGAAAGAUCGGCCCGCGUAAGAUUAGCUAGUUGGUGAGGUAACGGCCCACCAAGGCUACGAUCUUUAGCUGGUUUGAGAGAACGACCAGCCACACUGGGACUGAGACACGGCCCAGACUCCUACGGGAGGCAGCAGUUGGGAAUCUUGGACAAUGGGGGAAACCCUGAUCCAGCCAUGCCGCGUGAGUGAUGAAGGCCUUCGGGUUGUAAAACUCUUUCGACGGGGACGAUAAUGACGGUACCCGUAGAAGAAGCUCCGGCUAACUUCGCGCCAGCAGCCGC